rnacentral:lncRNA from 1 species
CCCAAAAGCCCUGACAGCGCCCGCCACGUCCACCCUGACACCGAAACGGACGGGUUUUCACCCAAAACGCAGGCCCAGGUCCCACUCGAAACAUCAUUCCCGAAAGACCCGGUUCUGACCCAAAAUAAUGUCCCCAAAAGACCCAGUUCCAACCCAAAAUGUGGCCCCGAUUCUGCCCUGAAACAUGAUUCCCAAAAGACCCAGUUCUGACCCAAAAUAAUGUCCCCAAAAGACCCGGUUCCGGCCCAAAAAUGUGGUCCCAGUUCUACCCAAAAUUUGGUCCCGAUUCCGCCCCAAAAUGCCGUCCCUGAAAGUCCCGGUUCCAACCCAAAAUGUGGUCCCAAUUCCAUCCUGAAAUGCCAUCCCCAAAAGACCCGGUUCCGACCCAAAAUCUGGUUCCAAUUCUGCCCCAGAAUGCCGUCCCCAAAAGUCCCAAUUCUGACCCAAAAUGUGGUCCCAAUUCCACCCUGAAAUGUGGUCCCAGUUCUGCCCCAAAACGCCGUCCCCAAAAGACCCGGUUCUGACCCAAAAUCUGGUCCCAGUUCCAACCCAAAAUCUGGUCCCGAUUCUGCCCCAAAAUGCCAUCCCAAUGUGGUCCCAGUUCUGCCCCAAAACACUGUCCCCAAAAGACCCGGUUCUGACCCAAAAUUUGGUCCCAGUUCUGCCCCAAAAUGCCAUCCCCCGAAAGACCCGGUUCCCACCCGAAAUGUGGUCCCGAUUCCACCCCCAAACACCGUCCCCAAAGGUCCCGGUUCUGCCCCAAAAUAACGUCCCCAAAAGACCCGGUUCCAACCCCAAAAAGUGGUCCUGAUUCUGCCCCAAAAUGUGGUCCCGAUUCCACCCCGAAAUGCCAUCCCCAAAAGACCCGGUUCUGACCCAAAAUCUGGUCCCAAUUCCGACCCAAAACAUCAUUCCGAAAAGUCCUGGUUCCAACCCAAAAAGUGAUCCCAAUUCUGCCCCAGAACGCUGUCCCCAAAAGACCCAGUUCUGACCUAAAACGGGGCCCAAAAGACCCAGUUCCAACCCAAAAUGUGGUCCCGAUUCUGCCCCGAAACACCAUCCCCGAAAGUCCUGGUUCUGACCCAAAAAAACUGUCCCCAGAAGUCCCAGUUCUGACCCAAAAUUUGGUCCCCAAAAGACCCAGUUCCAAC